rnacentral:rRNA from 1 species
UACGUAGGGUGCAAGCGUUGUCCGGAAUUAUUGGGCGUAAAGAGCUCGUAGGCGGUUUGUCGCGUCUGCUGUGAAAACCCGAGGCUCAACCUCGGGCCUGCAGUGGGUACGGGCAGACUAGAGUGCGGUAGGGGAGAUUGGAAUUCCUGGUGUAGCGGUGAAAUGCGCAGAUAUCAGGAGGAACACCGGUGGCGAAGGCGCCACUCUGGGCCGGUACUGACGCUGAGGAGCGAAAGCGUGGGGAGCGAACAGG